CUGAAGUUGCUGGCUGCCCAGACCCGGAGUGGUGCUCACUCUCACUCCGCUGCUGUCAGGGCGCUCACUCUCAGACAGAGCCUUUGCUCCGGACAGAAAUGUAGGAAAACUCUUUUUCAUCAUGCAUGUAUAUACUGAUCGACGGUGUGAGGGCUCCGGAUAGGUAUGCGACAUCAUUGACAGCGCCAGAAUAACAAAAUCUCUUCCAGAAGUUCUACUUUAGGGCUGCCUAUAGGACUGGCACGUUGAGAACAGUGAUCUCAUCUUUAUUCUGGGUUUCAACAUUUAUGUCACCUCCUCAGAAAGGCCUUUCCAGACCACUCAAUCGAAAGCAACCUCUCUGGACCCCUUCCAUCUGUUUAGUUUUACUGCCGUAUCCCCAGGGUCCAGCACAGGGCCUGACAUACAGGUGCUCAGCCAAUGUCUGCUGAAUGCAUGAAUUUCACGUCACGGAAGAAAUGUAGUGCUAUCCAACCUGAGUAGUGGACAGCCCAGAGGCAGGCAGUGUUCGAGUUGGUCUCUGAGGAGAAAAUGAAAUCGUCCCAGUCCUAGGCUGUGUAAGAGACGUCUCACAGUCUUCAGAAGUUUUACUGCUUCUAAUGGCCCAAGGCUCCGCGGUGAGAAGGUGCAGAGAGGGAUCUGAAUGUGGAACCGAACAUUCUAGAAACCAAUAAAACGCUUUAAG